rnacentral:rRNA from 1 species
GAACGGGUGAGUACACGUGGGUGAUCUGCCCUGCACUUUGGGAUAAGCCUGGGAAACUGGGUCUAAUACCGAAUAGGACCACGCGCUUCAUGGUGUGUGGUGGAAAGCUUUUGCGGUGUGGGAUGGGCCCNCNNNCUAUCAGCUUGUUGGUGGGGUAAUGGCCUACCAAGGCGACGACGGGUAGCCGGCCUGAGAGGGUGACCGGCCACACUGGGACUGAGAUACGGCCCAGACUCCUACGGGAGGCAGCAGUGGGGAAUAUUGCACAAUGGGCGCAAGCCUGAUGCAGCGACGCCGCGUGAGGGAUGACGGCCUUCGGGUUGUAAACCUCUUUCAAUAGGGACGAAGCGCAAGUGACGGUACCUAUAGAAGAAGCACCGGCCAACUACGUGCCAGCAGCCGCGGUAAUACGUAGGGUGCGAGCGUUGUCCGGAAUUACUGGGCGUAAAGAGCUCGUAGGUGGUUUGUCGCGUUGUUCGUGAAAACUCACAGCUUAACUGUGGGCGUGCGGGCGAUACGGGCAGACUAGAGUACUGCAGGGGAGACUGGAAUUCCUGGUGUAGCGGUGGAAUGCGCAGAUAUCAGGAGGAACACCGGUGGCGAAGGCGGGUCUCUGGGCAGUAACUGACGCUGAGGAGCGAAAGCGUGGGGAGCGAACAGGAUUAGAUACCCUGGUAGUCCACGCCGUANACGGUGGGUACUAGGUGUGGGUUCCUUCCUUGGGAUCCGUGCCGUAGCUAACGCAUUAAGUACCCCGCCUGGGGAGUACGGCCGNCAGGCUAAAACUCAAAGGAAUUGACGGGGGCCCGNNNAAGCGGCGGAGCAUGUGGAUUAAUUCGAUGCAACGCGAAGAACCUUACCCGGGUUUG